rnacentral:tRNA from 1 species
UGGGCGUUAGUUUCAAAUGGUCAAAACAUCUGGCUUUUAACCAGUCGUUCAGGGUUCGAGUCCCUGCCGCCCAA